UUCUGUGCUGAGAACUUACUGUACAGACUGUUCCCUUCUGUCAUUAGUGUGCCAAGGGUCAGGCUGCUCUCAGAUGCAGAAUGCUUCUUUCUCAGGAUCACAUCUGUUGUGUGACAUUGCCUGAGGAGACAUGAACAAACAUCUCUCCAGCCCAGAUAAGGCAGAUCAGAAAGAAAAGAGUCCACGGAAAUGUAGCCUGGCUAAUGGGUGAUGGUGAAGUGGUUAGUGGAGACCAUCUCCUGCCUGCGACUGGAUUUGUGUCUUGCCCCUCUCCAGGAGCAGAGUGGACCUGCUGUAGAGAGACUACAAGCAGGAGGUACUUUAUUGUCAACUCUGGAUUAGCAAUUGUAGGGUAAAAGGGCCCUGAAACCAGAGCCAAAAAAACACACUCUGCCCCUGACCAACUGAGCAUGAAACCAACCAAUCCCUGAGCAGGAAAACCAUCCAAUCCCUGAGCAUAAAAUCUAGCCAAUCUCUGAGUUUGUCCAAGCUCAGGGAUUGAAAUCUGACCAAUUCCCACCCUGAAAAUCUUCAACCUGGAAAAACGUCACCCCUAAGAAGCCCUAUAUAAGCCCCGUGCCUGUUCAG